GUAGUCCACGCUGUAAACGAUGGGUGCUAGCUGUUCGGGGGUUACCCUUGAGUGGCGCAGCUAACGCGUUAAGCACCCCGCCUGGGGAGUACGGUCGCAAGAUUAAAACUCAAAGAAAUUGACGGGGACCCGCACAAGCGGUGGAACAUGUGGUUUAAUUCGAGGCAACGCGAAGAACCUUACCAGGGUUUGUAUGCUCUUCAUAGGACUCCCAAAAGAGUCCGUCAGUUCGGCUGGAAGAUGCACAGGUGCUGCAUGGCUGUCGUCAGCUCGUGUCGUGAGAUGUUGGGUUAAGUCCCGCAACGAGCGCAACCCUCAUCCUUUGUUGCCAUCAUUAAGUUGGGCACUCUAAGGAAACUGCCGGUGAUAAGCCGGA
rnacentral:rRNA from 1 species